AGCCGCUUUCUACGACGUCUUUCUGUUGGUGUCGGGUCAGCCAUCUCUUCUUCGUUCGUUACCAGACUCCGGUUGCAUUGUGGGAUAGGGUAGUGAACUCCGUGGUUUACUUUGGCGGAAGCGCGGUAGCACCAUAGACAUCUCAUAGUUAUGCUGCUAUCCAUUUGGAUGUACGAAGUGGUAAAGUCGCCAAUCUCCCAGCUUUCUUGCGGCAUUUCACUGAGGCACGCCCCCUUUCGGUCUUGCGUUCGAGUAUUCUCUGCGAACCGACUCGGAUCUCGGAUCUGACGCCACGCCCACACUUCAAGCGUUUUAUUAUUUCGCUCGGUCGUUGGAGGAAAACAUGGACGCCACCCGGAAAGCUGUUGUCGCGGUAGCAUUGGCAGAGGACCAGGCGAUCCAAUAUAAUUUUCUUAAACUCGUCGGACACAAAGAGCAAACUGGAAGGCUAGAGCAAGGGAAAUACGUCACGUUCUCGCUGAAGCUGGUCCAGCCGCCUACCAUCAAAAUGGAUAGCAGCGGAGCAUUGGCUGCUGGGACGCGAGAAAUACGGCCGCCAUCUUGGAGUGGUCAACCGGGAGCAGCAACAGCAGCAGAAACAGGAUGCCGGGCUGUUGUUCAGCGUAUUCCUGCUCAAAUCGGCGGACCAUCCACAAUAGGAAUCGGGGGAUUACUUUUCACAAGCAAGAUUUAACAUUACCGUACUAUUGGUAUAAUUGGUAUUGAAUAAUAAAACACGCCAAACCAUGUGGCCUUUAUCAUAUACACGUAUGACAAAAAACCGCAUGAAAAUUAGUGGCAUUCAGUGAGGUAUGAUUCAUUAAAUGCGCUGACAGUUCAUUGCUCCAGCCAAACGGAUUACACUGAGUGGAGCGGAUGACCACUCCAAGAUGGCGGUGUCACGUUAAAAUUGUACCGGAGGCGAAAAUUGUACCGGCCUACGUCAUCAGUUGUUUACAUCUUUGUUUAAUCGAAUAGCAACAGGGAAACGGGCGAUCGCGUCAAAUGAUGUAGGACGCGAAUGUUCAAGAACCUUCCUACGUCAUUUGACGCGAUCGCCCGUUUCCCGGCAACAGACGAUCGCGUCGUCUGUUGCUAUUCGAUUAAACAAUUAAAUACAAUACAAAUAUAAAGUAAAAACAAGUGUUAUCUAGCGAUCCGUUAUCUGUAUUAUGUUAUUUCGUCUUUUGGAAACAUGAGCCGAAUGUUUUUUGCAACCUGCCCAGCAACAGACGAUCGCGUCGUUUGUUGCCAGGCAGGUUGUCAAGAUGUAAACAACUGAUGACGUAGGGCGGUACAAUUUUCGCAGGAUGGCAUCCUCCUAUAUUACAACCGUGUCGUGGUUCCACCGUCCCUCCGUGAAAGAAUCCUUCGGCACCUCCAUGCCGCCCACCAAGGAGCUUCUGCGUUGGAGCAGCACGCCCAUGCCGUCGUCUUCUGGCCCGGGAGGUCGAGGGACAUCCGGGCCACCAGGUAUGGAUGUUUGGACUGUAACCGCAAUGCUCCGUCACAGGCAGCCACGCCCCCCCUACCAUCCUCACCACCUUCCACUCCAUUCGAGGCAGUGUUUGCUGGGUGGAGGUCCUAUGCUCCACAGCAGGCACUGAUCUAGGAGGCAUGCCGGAGGAACAUUCGAGCGAUGGUGGUCCAGAGUUCAAAGUUAGCCAUGCAGAGGACGAAUGGGAGGGCAGACGUUGCGGUGAAGACUGCUAAGCGCUGUGUCCAACACUGG
ensembl:lncRNA